rnacentral:rRNA from 1 species
AUUGAACGCUGGCGGCAUGCCUUACACAUGCAAGUCGAACGGCAGCACGGGGGCAACCCUGGUGGCGAGUGGCGAACGGGUGAGUAAUAUAUCGGAACGUACCCUGGAGUGGGGGAUAACGUAGCGAAAGUUACGCUAAUACCGCAUACGAUCUAAGGAUGAAAGUGGGGGAUCGCAAGACCUCAUGCUCCUGGAGCGGCCGAUAUCUGAUUAGCUAGUUGGUGGGGUAAAGGCCUACCAAGGCAUCGAUCAGUAGCUGGUCUGAGAGGACGACCAG